CCAAUUUGAUUGAUGAACUGUUUUGACAGACCUCCAAUCAGACUGGCUCCCUAACAGACUAUCAGAGCCCCCGUUUGAACCCCCGUCCUGUUCGCCGCCCUCCAGUUCCUCCCAAGAACUAUGGCACUCUUCUGAGGCCCUCUCCAUCUGCAGGCCUUCGACGGGUUUAGCAAAAAAUAAGCCUUCCCCUCCUCCUCUCCCAUGGCCUGUGAGACCCCCUCGGUCCCCCAUGAUGUCCCGCUCCUCUUCAGCCUCUUCAGAGUAUGAGAGGACGCUACCAGAAAUGCACCUACUACAGCCUCAGGAUUCCAUAGAACGAAAGCACAGCCAGUCCCCUCGCCCUGUUCGACCACCAGCUCUACCCAAAUCUGAACCCCUGUCCUUGUAUGGGUGCUAUGACGUUAAUAGAUCCCAGAGUCCAACGGUAAGCAUCA